rnacentral:tRNA from 2 species
CCUUCGAUAGCUCAGUUGGUAGAGCGGUGGACUGUAGAUUUGAGGCUAUAAAUAGGAAUCCAUAGGUCGCCUGGUUCAAAUCCGGCUCGAAGGA